UACGUAGGGCGCAAGCGUUGUCCGGAUUCACUGGGUGUAAAGGGCGCGCAGGCGGGAAAGUAAGUUAGAGGGGAAAUCUCACAGCUCAACUGUGAAACGGCCUUUGAUACUGCUUUUCUUGAGUUAGGGAGAGGUUGAUGGAAUUCCAGGUGUAGCGGUGAAAUGCGUAGAUAUCGGGAGGAACACCCGUGGCUAAGGCGGUUCUCUAGUACGGUACUGACGCUGAGACGCGAAAGCGUGGGGAGCGAACAGG
rnacentral:rRNA from 1 species